AGAACGAACGCUGGCGGCGUGGAUAAGACAUGCAAGUCGAACGGGAUUUAUUUUGUAGCAAUACACGAUAAGUCUAGUGGCGUAAGGGUGCGUAACACGUGGGCAAUCUGCCGAGAUGUGGGGGAUAGCUCGCCGAAAGGCGAAUUAAUACCGCAUGUGGUUAGUGAGGACAUCCUCACGACACCAAAGCCGGGGCAACCUGGCGCAUCUUGAUGAGCCCGCGGCCUAUCAGCUAGUUGGUGAGGUAACGGCUCACCAAGGCUAUGACGGGUAGCUGGUCUGAGAGGACGACCAGCCACACUGGAACUGAGACACGGUCCAGACACCUACGGGUGGCAGCAGUCGAGAAUUUUUCACAAUGGGGAAACCCUGAUGGAGCGACGCCGCGUGGAGGAUGAAGGUUUUCGGAUUGUAAACUCCUGUCACUGCAGAACAAGGGUGUGCUCGUUAAUAGCGAGCGCAUUUGAUGGUAUGGCGGAGAGGAA
rnacentral:rRNA from 1 species